rnacentral:rRNA from 1 species
AACGAACGCUGGCGGCAUGCCUAAUACAUGCAAGUUGAACGCGACAUUCGGGUCUUGUGGCGCACGGGUGCGUCACGCGUGGGAACAUGCCCUCAGGUUCGGACUAACUUUCAGCAAGGGGCGAUAUUACCGGACGAUGUCUCAUGACCCAAGAUAUAUCAAAUCUGGAUGGGUCCGCUUUGGAUUAGCAAGUUCGUAGCUUAAAGGUCUACCAAGGUUACGAUCCAUAGCUGGUCUGGGAGGAUGAUCAGCCACACUGGGUCAGAGACACGGCCCAGACUCCUACGGGAGGCAGCAGUGGGGAAUAUUGAACAAUGGGCGAGAGCCUAAUCCAGCAAUGCCGCGUGAGUGAGUAAGGCGUUAAGGUUGUAAAGCUCUUUUACCCGGUAUUAUAAUGACGGUACCGUGACAGUAAGCGCCGGCUAACUCCGUG